GAGUUUGAUCGUGGCUCAGGAUGAACGCUGGCGGCGUGCCUAAUACAUGCAAGUCGAGCGAACAGACGAGGAGCUUGCUCCUCUGACGUUAGCGGCGGACGGGUGAGUAACACGUGGAUAACCUACCUAUAAGACUGGGAUAACUUCGGGAAACCGGAGCUAAUACCGAAUAAUAUAUUGAACCGCAUGGUUCAAUAGUGAAAAACGGUUUUGCUGUCACUUAUAGAUGGAUCCGCGCCGCAUUAGCUAGUUGGUAGGGUAACGGCUUACCAAGGCGACGAUGCGUAGCCGACCUGAGAGGGUGAUCGGCCACACUGGAACUGAGACACGGUCCAGACUCCUACGGGAGGCAGCAGUAGGGAAUCUUCCGCAAUGGGCGAAAGCCUGACGGAGCAACGCCGCGUGAGUGAUGAAGGUCUUCGGAUCGUAAAACUCUGUUAUUAGGGAAGAACAAACGUGUAAGUAACUAUGCACGUCUUGACGGUACCUAAUCAGAAAGCCACGGCUAACUACGUGCCAGCAGCCCG
rnacentral:rRNA from 1 species